rnacentral:rRNA from 1 species
AGCGAACGUUUGCGGCGGGCUUAACACAUGCAAGUCGAACGAGAAUCCCUUCGGGGAGGAAAGUGGCGCACGGGUGCGUAACACGUGGAUAACCAACCCAUUGGUUUGGGACAACACCGGGAAACUGGUGCUAAUACCAGAUGUGUCGCAGCUGUCUUCAGGCGGUUGCGAGAAAGGCCCGCAAGGGUCGCCAACGGACGGGUCCGCGUCCCAUCAGCUAGUUGGUGAGGUAAUGGCUCACCAAGGCAAAGACGGGUAGCUGGUCUGAGAGGAUGAUCAGCCACACUGGAACUGAGACACGGUCCAGACUCCUACGGGAGGCAGCAGUGGGGAAUAUUGCGCAGUGGGCGAAAGCCUGACGCAGCCACGCCGCGUGAGUGAUGAAGGUCUUCGGAUCGUAAAGCUCUGUGGGGGGAGAAGAAGAAAGCCGGUGAAGAGCCGGCCCUGACGGUAUCCCCUUAGCAAGCACCGGCUAACUCCGUGCCAGCAGCCGCGGU